ACAAUCAAAAAAAGCACAAGCAGAGACAGAAGAGAAAAGAAAAGGAAAAGAAUGACAGACAAGUGUCAGACAGAGUAACUCAACGGUUUUCUCUUCUCCCGUCUUGUCUCUCUUCUUUUUCUCCCUUUCUUCUCUCUUCUCCUCUCCUUUGUCACAAUAUCGCACAGAGAUAGUACAGGCACCCAAUUAAAAUAACAA
rnacentral:ribozyme from 1 species